rnacentral:rRNA from 1 species
UAUCUUGUACUAUGUGAUUUUCUUUAUGUAGAGAGUUGGGAAGGAUGAUUGUCGAACUCUGCAAGUAAGAAUGAGCGGUGGACAAGUAAAUAAUACAUCUUGAGGUGAGAAGAGAGUUCAUCCAGAUCAUCAAAAAAUACGCAGUGCUAGUGUGGAGUCCAUAGAUGGAAUACAAUUGAUGUGUCUCUAGGAUACAAAAAAAGCAAGGCAAGGUAUUUUGCAAAGAAAACAAAACAGGAGAAGUGCUGCAACGAGUACAUCCCUCGUCCUUAGUUGCCAUCAUUCAGUGGGGCACUCUAAGGAAUCCGCCGGUGAUAAGCCGGAGGAAGGUGGGGAUGACGUCAAGUCCUCAUGGCCCUUUCAGGCUGGGCUACACACGUGCUACAAUGGCGGUGACAGUGGGCAGCAAACUCGCGAGAGUGAGCUAAUCUCCAAAAGCCGUCUCAGUUCGGAUUGUUCUCUGCAACUCGAGAGCAUGAAGGCGGAAUCGCUAGUAAUCGCGGAUCAGCAUGCCGCGGUGAAUACGUUCCCAGGCCUUGUACACACCGCCCGUCACGCCAUGGGAGUUGGUUUCACCCGAAGGUGGUGCGCUAACCCGCAAGGGAGGCAGCCAACCACGGUGGGAUCAGCGACUGGGGUGAAGUCGUAACAAGGUAGCCGUA